CUACGGAGGGUGCAAGCGUUACUCGGAAUCACUGGGCGUAAAGCGCGCGCAGGCGGUUUGAUAAGUUGGAUGUGAAAUCCUAUGGCUCAACCAUAGAACUGCAUCCAAAACUGUCAAACUAGAGUCUGGGAGAGGAAGAUGGAAUUAGUUGUGUAGGGGUAAAAUCCGUAGAGAUAACUAGGAAUACCAAAAGCGAAGACGAUCUUCUGGAACAGUACUGACGCUGAGGCGCGAAAGCGUGGGGAGCAAACAGGAUUAGAAACCCGGGUAGUCC
rnacentral:rRNA from 1 species